GGGAGAUAGCUUAGUUGGUAGAGUGCUUGCCUUGCAUGCAUGAGGCCCUGGGUUCAAUCCCCAGCAUCACACA
rnacentral:tRNA from 1 species